rnacentral:rRNA from 1 species
AGAGUUUGAUUAUGGCUCAGGAUGAACGCUGGCGGCGUGCUUAACACAUGCAAGUCGAACGAAGAAAUUUUAAAUGAGAGCUUCGGCAGGAUUUUAAUUUUUCUUAGUGGCGGACGGGUGAGUAACGCGUGGGUAACCUGCCUUAUACUGGGGGAUAAUCACUGGAAACGGUGACUAAUACCGCAUGUCAUCGCGAGAGGGCAUCCUCUUGCGAGAAAAGGAGCAAUCCGGUAUGAGAUGGACCCGCGUCUGAUUAGCUAGUUGGUGAGAUAAUAGCCCACCAAGGCGACGAUCAGUAGCCGACCUGAGAGGGUGAUCGGCCACAUUGGGACUGAGACACGGCCCAA